AGAGUUUGAUCCUGGCUCAGAUUGAACGCUGGCGGAAUGCUUUACACAUGCAAGUCGAGCGGCAGCGCGGGGCAACCUGGCGGCGAGCGGCGAACGGGUGAGUAAUGCAUCGGAACAUGUCCAUGUCGUGGGGGAUAGCCCGGCGAAAGCCGGAUUAAUACCGCAUACGCCCGAGAGGGGAAAGCGGGGGACCGCAAGGCCUCGCGCGAUUGGAUUGGCCGAUGUCCGAUUAGCUAGUUGGUGGGGUAAAGGCCCACCAAGGCGAUGAUCGGUAGCUGGUCUGAGAGGAUGAUCAGCCACACUGGGACUGAGACACGGCCCAGACUCCUACGGGAGGCAGCAGUGGGGAAUUUUGGACAAUGGGGGAAACCCUGAUCCAGCCAUUCCGCGUGAGUGAAGAAGGCCUUCGGGUUGUAAAGCUCUUUUGUCCGGAACGAAACGGGUAGCGUGAAUAUCGCUGCCUACUGACGGUACCGGAAGAAUAAGCACCGGCUAACUACGUGCCAGCAGCCGCGGUAAUACGUAGGGUGCGAGCGUUAAUCGGAAUUACUGGGCGUAAAGCGUGCGCAGGCGGUUUUGUAAGCCAGAUGUGAAAUCCCCGGGCUUAACCUGGGAAUGGCAUUUGGAACUGCAAGGCUGGAGUGCGGCAGAGGAGACUGGAAUUCCUGGUGUAGCAGUGAAAUGCGUAGAUAUCAGGAGGAAUACCGAUGGCGAAGGCAGGUCUCUGGGCUGACACUGACGCUCAUGCACGAAAGCGUGGGGAGCAAACAGGAUUAGAUACCCUGGUAGUCCACGCCCUAAACGAUGUCGACUGGUUGUUGGGGGUUUGACACUCUCAGUAACGAAGCUAACGCGUGAAGUCGACCGCCUGGGGAGUACGGCCGCAAGGUUAAAACUCAAAGGAAUUGACGG
rnacentral:rRNA from 1 species